CAUUCCGGCUUUAUCUCUCUCUAAUAUCUCUAAAUUCUCCCUCUCUCCUUUGAAGAUCCUCAACCGAGUACUUCUCUUCUCCCCUAAAAUCAUGUCUGGACGUGCGACGAACCUCCAACUUUUCUGUAGUUCGGUUUCCUCAUAGAAUCACCAUUAUUCUCCUUCAGCCGAUCGGGAAGUGCCAGUAAUUAUGGCUGUCGAAUAGUUGGUUCAACAACUGGGCCGAGAACAUAUACCUCAACUCCUUCCUCAUAAGAUCUCAAAUACUAUAUGGGGACGGGACAGAGACGCCAACACGUUUCAGGUUCGAUCCACCUGCUGCGCGAAACUAAGUCACAAUUAUCCUGGUUACCUAACACGGAUAUGAGCCUAUGCUUUAGGACCCAUUUGAAUACCCGGAGAGAGGGUCUAUCCGUGGGCUGCACCUCUACUUGGGGAUUAAUCUGAGCCUCUCCAUGGGUCUGGGAUACCCCAGGUGAAAAAAAAAAAAAAAAACCUUCAUUUUUUGUAGGUUCGAUAAGUCUAUCAAUGGGAUUAGCAAAAAUAUUCUGAAGAUGGAGUUUGGAAUACUUAAGCAUGGAUUUCCGAUCUACAAUACAUGUCCGACGAGGAUCUCGAGACGUGGUUUCGUUAUUUUAAGGUACUUUCUUGAACAUCUUUUUAGUUUUUGUUUAUCUAAAAUAACAUGUGAUAAAGGUUUUAAAGAUGAAAUAGAAUAAACUCACAGUUAUUUAACAACAAUUGAAAAUAAAAUAUAUUAUUAUGUUCUUAGCAUCGACUCAAAAAUCCAAAUCAGUGGAUUAGAAUCCUUAUAAUACACAGAGAACUCCGAACGCCUCAUAUAAUUUUGUUUGCCAUAAUUUUUGGCUUUUGGAAUACGCUAGGUAGUGAAGUUGGGGAAGAAUUGCUUACAUCAUUAAAUUUAUUUCUUAUGGAUAACAGUCUUUGCAAACACUAUCUCUAAAAAUUGUAGAGCCUGCAUACAUUCGACGAUGUAAAUCAAAACUUCAUGCGAAUAAAGCUGAUGCUGGGUCGGAUAUUCAUGCUCCAGAAAUUCUUUUCAUUUUAAAGAAAUAUUAUUUCAUUUAAGAGCAGUAAUUCAUGUAUCUUUCUCUUUAUUAUUUAUGGUUAAUUCGAUUAGUUCCGGGAACGAAAAUCCAUACAUCUCUCUGAUAAAAAGUAACGCUUUCCCAAGUAGAAAUAGAACUAGGGUGUAAACUUUAUAGUGAUAUUUUCACAAGACACACUUGAUAGUGAUAUUUUCUUGUACAAAGAACUUCUUGCACGAACUAAAAACAAGUAUUCGUUUAUAUUUUAAAAGAUAAUAUAAUUAAAUAAUCUACUACUUUAUAUGAUUUUUU